rnacentral:rRNA from 1 species
CCUACGGGAGGCAGCAGUGGGGAAUAUUGCGCAAUGGGCGAAAGCCUGACGCAGCGACGCCGCGUGAGGGAUGAAGGUCUUCGGAUCGUAAACCUCUGUCAGCAGGGAAGAACGGUCACUGUGCUAAUCAGCAGUGAAUUGACGGUACCUGCAAAGGAAGCACCGGCUAACUCCGUGCCAGCCGCCGCGGUAAUCAGGAGGGUGCGCGCGUUAAUCGGAAUUACUGGGCGUAAAGCGCUCGUAGGAGGUAUGUCAAGUCAAGGGUGAAAUCCCCGCGCUCAACGUGGGAACUGCCUUUGAAACUGGCAAAAUGGAGUGGGUGAGAGGAUAGUGGAAUUCCAGGUGUAGGAGUGAAAUCCGUAGAUAUCUGGAGGAACAUCAGUGGCGAAGGCGACUAUCUGGCACAUAACUGACGCUGAGGAGCGAAAGCGUGGGUAGCAAACAGGAUUAGAUACCCGAGUAGUC